GAUUCGCUGGCUAACAUUGAACUUCUCCCAGUGGAGCCACAAAGUAAACAGCUCAUGACUUCUGAUCAGGACGCUAAGGUCGUGGCUGAACCGCAGGGCCAACGAGUCCAAGAAGGGAAAGACAGUGCACAUCUGAUGAAUGGUCCCAUAUCUCAGACAACUUCUCAGACAAGUUCCAUUCCAGCUUUGAGUCAGGUACCAACAGCCAAGGUUUCGGAGCUAAACCCUAAUGCAAAAGUAUGGGGCACUCCACUGUUACAGCUGGAAGCGCGUGGAGCUGCAGACGGCGGUGUGAGCACAGUCUGGGAGGCGUCCCCUGGCCGCGGCCAUCUCGGAUUGGACACCAACGGUGACGGUGACAAAAGUCAUGACAGUGUUGGGCUGUCAGAUCCGCAGGAGUCAGACCAGACAGCCAUGAGCACGCUGGGUCCGGACCACUCAGAGUAUGAGUCACUGCCUGAAAGCAGUGAGACAGGAGGGAAUGAAUCUCAACCAGAAAGCCAGGAAGACCCCCGGGAAGUACUUAAAAAGACAUUGGAAUUCUGCUUGUCUAGGGAGAACCUUGCUAGUGACAUGUACCUUAUAUCACAGAUGGACAGUGACCAGUACGUGCCAAUCACCACAGUAGCUAACCUGGACCACAUCAAGAAGCUCAGCACCGACAUGGACCUGAUUGUUGAGGUGCUGAGAUCUUUACCUUUAGUCCAAGUGGAUGAGAAGGGAGAGAAAGUAAGGCCAAAUCAGAACCGUUGCAUAGUGAUACUACGUGAGAUACCUGAGUCCACCCCUGUAGAAGAAGUAGAAGCACUAUUUAAAGGAGAUAACUUACCGAGAUUUAUAAACUGUGAAUUUGCCUAUAAUGAUAAUUGGUUUAUUACAUUUGAAACAGAAGCUGAUGCACAACAGAGAAUGAUUUCAAUAUUUGGAAAAGCGUUUGGGAAAUUUGUGCCUGACUCUAACGUUGCCUGGGCAGCCUUGUGUUAUGAGGUGCAUGAGAAGGCACUGAGGAGCCCUGGGGGAGGCGGGGCAUUCAGAUGGCUCCCUGCCGUGGAAGGAAGCAUCGUGUUCAGAGGAAGCACUCGCCUGUGUAGAGGAACAGCCAUGGAAUGUGAGGCUUACAAGUAUCUGAGAGAAGAAGUCAAAACCUUUCAAGGAAAACCAAUUAAGGCACGGAUAAAGGCGAAGGCAAUAGCUAUAAACACGUUUUUGCCAAAGAAUGGCUUUAGGCCUCUGGACAUGAGCCUCUACACCCAGCAGCGCUACACGGCGUCGUUUUACUUACCUCCAGUCUAUAGUCCCCAGCAGCAGUUCCCUCUGUACAGCCUGAUAGCCCCCCAGACGUGGUCAGCGACACACAGCUAUCUUGACCCGCCCUUGGUAACGCCAUUUCCAAAUACUGGAUUUAUAAAUGGGUUCACGUCUCCAACCUUCAAACCUGCCGCAUCUCCUCUGGCUUCACUCAGACAGUACCCUCCGAGGAGCAGGAAUCCUAGUAAGUCUCACUUGCGCCAUGCCAUCCCCAGUGCAGAGAGGGGUCCCGGGCUGCUGGAAAGUCCUUCCAUAUUUAACUUCACUGCUGAUCGCUUGAUGAACGGUGUGCGCAGCCCACAAGUGAGGCAGACAGCACAGCCACGAGCUCGGCUCCAGAACCCUCCGGCCUUUGCCAAGAGAGACGUGGGGCCUGGGCGCGUGGAGCAGAGCAGCUUCGAGUCCUCCCCGGGCUUAGGCAGAGGGAGGAAGAGCUCCUUUGGUUAUCGGAAGAAGCGGGAGGAGAAGUUCACAAGGAGUCAGACUCAGUCUCCAACGCCGCCCAGACCGCCGUCCCCCAGCUUCGAAUUAGGCCUGUCCAGCUUCCCCCCACUGCCUGGGGCAGCAGGGCAUUUGAAGACAGAGGACUUGUUUGAGAACAGGCUGUCUGGCUUGCUCGCAGGAACAUCCAAAGAAAGGAGCCUGAACGCAGAUGCCAGCACGAACACUCUUCCUGCCGUGCACCCGCGAGAGCCCUUGGCGCCCUGUGCCACGUCCGUAGCCUGCGAGCGCACCCCCUCCCCUGCCCGCCCGCCCGAGGACGCCAAGGUGGUGGAGAAGCAGAGGGAAACCCCGAGUGUGGACAGACCGCCUCCUGCCCUGGCCCUGAGCACCACUGCAAGUAAAUCGGUGCAGGUGAACGGUGCCGCCUCGGAAUUGCGAAAACCCAGCUACGCAGAGAUUUGUCAGAGGACAAGUAGAGAGCCACCGUCUUCCCCGUUGCAACCCCAGAAAGAACAGAAGCCAAACCCGGUCGGCUGUGGGAAGGAAGAGAGGAAGGUCAUGGAGAGAGACCCCCCUGCCCCCAAAUCCAGCCCAGGACCACCCAAAGACCAGAGGAGGCCGCUGGGCCGCCGGCCGUCACCCCCGGGCUUGGGGCGGCGUCCGCACAGAGAACAGAGCCCCCCACCCAGGCCCCCUCAGUGAGCACCGAGGUCUGGGAGGGCUGCGAGGAGCUGAGGUCGCCACAACUAGGCACUAUCCUGCUCGGACGUGAGUGAGCCGCUGGCUAGGAGCUUGCAGUGUAGAUGAGGCCCACAAGGUGCCUGCAAGUUAUUUUUCUUCUAUGAGUCGGAUUUCCCCCCUCUUGAAAAAAAUCUAUUUUUCAGGAUUUAAUUAAUAUAAACCUUAUUUUAGGUUGGUGCUUAACUGGAGGUGAUGCAUAAGUCUGAUUUUUUUCAGGAUAGAAAAUGCAUUUAUCCUAACAAAUUGAUAUUUUUUAUUAAGCCUCCAUGUGGCUAUGAAUGCAAGCUAUAUAUAUAGUGAGUUUUUCUAAAUUAAGCGGAACUAUGCUACUUCAUUUUUUAAAAUAACUGGUUAGCAAGUGCGUAUCUCUAAGAUGUCCAGGCCGCCGGGUGAAGCUGAGGACCGAGGGAGGAGGACUGAGGUGAUGCUGUGAGCACAGCUUGGGAGAGCGGGUGGGGCUCGCCAGCCUGGGAGCUGCCCUUCGCUCAGAAACCUAACAGGUGGUUCUAGCAUUUUCUAAGCAGAGUCCGGUUUUGGUCCACUGGGCAGAGUAAGCCUGCACAGCCCCGAGAGCCCUCUUGUCCUGCCAGCAAGUAACCAGCUCCUCACUCUAGUCUCAAGUGGUUGUUAUGUAAGACAAACUCAAAGCACAUUGUGAAUAGAACUCAAAUGAAAUAUAAACUUUGUAAGCCCACUGACAUGUUACCGCAAAAUUGUACCCUGACGUUUUGCUCCCGCGAGUGGGUGGGGAGGGUGUGGAGCCCGCCUCACAGUCGGCCUUCCUGCCCCCCGCUCCCCCCCCACUCCCCAGGCCUCCGGGGUCCUCCCGGCUCCCCUCUAGAUCCUCCCGGCCCCCGCGCGGAUCAUGGGGGAGGCGGUUGUGGUGCCCUCUGGUGGCGGAGGGUUCCAGCCCACUCUCCUUACCUCCAAGACAGGGUCAAUGAUCCCUUCUCCAAGUGCUGCUCUCCAAGAACACGCAUGCACUAGCUAGCAGUUGAUAAUAAAGUUUAACAUAAAUUAUUUUGUUUUAAAAUG
rnacentral:lncRNA from 1 species